AGGUGAUAUAUUGAAAAAUGGUAUAUGUAAUUAAUAUUAUUUUAAGGAUUAAGAAUCAAAAUUUAAAAAAGAUAAAAAGAUAUGAAUCAAUCAAGAUCAUGAAAAUGAAGGAAAUAAAACAAGUGGAAUGAAACAUCUGAGUAACUUGAAAAAUAACCAACAGGGAUUAUAUAAGUAACGGUGAGUGAAAGUAUAAGAAUCUUAAAGUAUUACCAAGAGGUAAGAAUAAAGUAGUAACCAACUACUAAGAAAAAAGAAUAAAUUUUAGAUAAAAGUACCGCAAGGGAAAAUAAAUAAAUAGAAUAAUAAAGAGCAGUUAUAGUAUAACGUACCUUUUGUAUAAUGGGCCAGUGAGUUAUAUAUUUUAGUGAAAAUAAAAAAUUUUAUAUAAAAAUAGAAAUAAAUUAAAGUAUAUAGGCCCGAAAGCAAACGAUCUACACAUGUCCAAGUGUAUAUAUAUUAUAAAUAAUAUAAUUUAUAUAUGACUCAAUAGGUAAUUGUAGCAAUAAUUUCUAAAGAGAUGUGUGUAGCUGUGACAGACAAAUCUGGUUUGCAGAUAGCUGGUUUUCUGCGAAAUAUAUUUUAGUAUAGCCUUUAUUUAUAUUUUAUACUGGUACAGCACUUAAAUACUUUUGGGGAAUUAGAAUAUAAUUUUAUCAAAAUAUUUAAACCUCGGAAUCAGUUUAUAAAUUUUAUAAGGAGUCAGACUUAUUGCGAUAAGGUAGUAAGUCAAAAAGGAAACAACCUAGACUAUUAAAUGUAUGUCCCAAAUAUUAAUUAAGUGAAUAAAAUCUAUCCUACUUUUAAUUCUCCCGCUACGCGGGUUAAUUAAAAGUUAAUCUUAUAUUUACCAUCCGCUGAAUCUUGAUUCAGCGGUGGCUUUUAUUUUUUUACAUUAUUUAACUAUUUGUUAAAUAUACGGGGAAUUAAAUUAUAGACAAUUAGUAAGUGGGUUUGACAAUAAUCAACUUUUAAUGAACAUGUAACAAUGCACUAAUUUUAUAUAUAUUAUUUAUAAAAUAAUAUUUAUUAAUAAUAGAGAAAAUAUAACGGGUCUAAAUUAAUAACAGUAUUAUAGAUAUAAUGAAAAAUUAUAUGGUAGCAGAAUAUAUAAUAAAAAAUUAUAAAGAGAUUGCUGGCUUGAGUAACGAUAGAUAAUAUAAGAUUAUCCCCUUAUUCAUAAGGUUUUACUAUAAACGAACGGUCCCUAAGAUUAAUAUAGAAAUAUAAAAUUAAUGGGUGAAAGAACAAGAAAAAGAAAAUGAACCGUACUGUAGACCGACACAGGUAUGAUAAAAAGGGAAUGGGAUAACUACUUUGAAUGAACUCGGCAAAAUAAAUCGUGCGACUGUUUACCAAAAACAUAGCUUAUUGCAUACUAGUAAUAGUAAGUAUAAUAAGUGAUAUCUGCCCGGUGUUAGUUCAAUAAAUAUUAUUAUUUAAUAGAUAAUUUUAUAAAAAACUGAUAAACGGCGGUCUUAUUGUGAGGAUCCGAAGGUAGCGAAAUUCAUGUGCGACUUGAUAAGUCAUACUAAAUAAUCCUCUUUUAAGAGGCAAGCUAAGGAUGCUUGUACCUAUUUACACAUGCGUUAGGAGUAAUCUUAGGGUAUGAAGCUGUAUUGAAAACGGUAGCUAAUAUUUAUAUCCAAUUAUAUUUAUUAGAGCUUAGGUAGAAAUGAUAUGGAUAACGAAAGUGAAUGGGCGGUUAAAGUACCAUAAGCUACGAUUAUUCUUUAAAUUGGAAUCGGAAUUAUAUUCCUGAGAGAUGUAAAUAUGAUGUGAAUUAAUAUUUUUCCUUCAUCGUUUGAAUCAGGUGGAUCAAAGUCCAAUCCUACGUCAUUUAUCUUUUAUUCAUUUAUGAAUAUAUAGACGUGUUUAGUAUGGAACAAGGUAAGCCUAUUAAUAAAUAACUAGUAAAUAAAACUAGGAAUAAAUAUAUAAGUAAAAGAUAUUUUAUGAAAUUAUUUAUUUAAUUAUUAGGUAAAGGAUAGUAUAAAAAGCUAAUGAUUUAUUGUAAUGAUAGAUAUAAGGUAAAUAACCUAACUCGAGAGGGUGCUGACUUAUACAUAACGUGAUAUACGAUUAUAAAAUAAUCGAGGCAUAUAUUAAUUGCUGAUAAUAUUCCUUAUAUGGAAUUAAAAUUUAUUGCGUGAGCCGUAUGCGAUGAAAGUCGCACGUACGGUUCUAAAGGGGGGAAAGCUUGUGAAAGCCUACCUAUCCUAACUGACGUAUAAUUGACGUCCUGCAUGAAUGAAUAUACGAUGCGAUAACUGUAUCCAAAGUAGACCCAGUGAAAUAGCAAUUGCGGUGAAAUUUAUACUAUAAUAUAUAAAAAUAUUAUACGCCGGGUUGGUGUAAAUCCAACUUUAUAGUUUUAAUUUUUAUGUUAAUCAAUUUAAUAAUUUAAAAUAUCUAAAUCUUUCUAUAUCUUCUCCCGCAACCAUGUUGCGGGUUAUUAAGAUAUAUAAUAAUAUAUCUAAUUUAAUUAAAGAAUCUUUAAAAUUAAAAGUAUUUUUAUCUCCACCCGCAACCAUGUUGCGGGUUUUUUAUAACAUUUGUCUUAUAUUUAUCUAUAUUAGGUAUAACACUUAUAUAAAAGAUAAAUUAUAUACUUUAUCUAAAUCUAUAUGGAUAAUUAUCUUUAUAUACUGAUGAUUUUAAUAUUAAAUAACUAUCUUUUAAAUUUAUAGUAUAUUUAACACCAUUGAAUUUAAAAUAAAUGUUAAUACGGUGAGAUGAAUUAUAUAUAAAUUAUUAGAUGCGGGCUAUUACUAAAUAUUUAUAUAAUAGCCCGCAACAUGAUAAUGUUGCGGGUAAAUAUAAUAGAUAUUAACAUAUAUAUAUUUAUUAUUAAGUUAAUUAUUUAUAAGUCAUAUAUUUUAUAUAUAGAUUUAAAUUUUGAUUAAUAUUCUUUAUAUCAAUAAAAUAUAAAUAUUAAUUAGAUAUAGAAUUAAAACCAAGUUAAAUAUAGCCCGCAACAUCUUGAUGUUGCGGGUGGUAAUUAAUUAUAUUAACCAUAUAUUAAAUCUUAAAUAGAUUAUUUAAAUCUUAAACCCGCAACAUGGUUGCGGGUGGAGAUAUAUAAUGAAAGUAAUAUAUUAAAGACCAAAUAGUUAAAUUGAAAUAUAACUUUAAAAAUUAAAUGUCAAAAAUGACAGAUAAGUAUUAAUGAAUUAAAUAAAAUUCAUACUAUAUAAUUAAGAGAAAUAAUUAUAGAGUGACAAGAAUACAAUCGAAUAAUACUAAUUCCUAAAAUAAAGGGUGAAUUAUAUAGGGCAAUAUAUAAUUUAAUCGCUAUAAAUAAAAAGGUGAAAACGGUCAAUGACAUCUUAGUUAAAGACCGUCGGCAGUUGUAUAUGUCGCUACAGACUGGUUCACCGAGGUUAGGCUGAAAUGUCUGUCUAAAUGUACAGUCGGAUUCUGUAAUAUAACCAAAAAUUAUAUAGAGGUGAAAGAUAUAUGAGUUAUAUUUUCUAUAAAAGAAAUUAUGAUUUAUAAGCUUAUUAGUAUAUAAGUAAUAAACCUUUGUAGGUCAAACCUACUUAAAUUAAUCAGAAUUGGAAGAUGCCGUAUAUCCGUAGGUUGACAAAAAGACCCUAUGCAGCUUUACUAUAUCUUUAUUUUGAUUUUUUAAUAUCUUUAAGAUAUUAUUGCUUUUUUUAUUCAUUUCAGUAGAUUAGGUUAUAUUUAUUAUUUAAAUCAAAUGAGAUACCUAUAUAAAUGAAAAAAGAAUCUAAUUAAUUAAAUUAAUGAUUAAUUCAUUAAUAGAGUUUUUAAACUUUUAUUUAAGAAAGAGUAAAGAGGUUAGUUUCGAUGGGGCGUCGACAUCAGCGAAAGCAUCUGAUGUGUCUAAUAACAAUGAUCUUGUUUAACAAGACUAAAUGUUUAAUUAAAUUAUUUAUUUAUUAGUAAAUAACGUACAAUAAAACUAUAUGGUAAAUAGUAUAAAAAUUAUAAGUAAGGAUAACAACAUAAUUGUGCGAUGAUAAUAACACUAACAAGUGAAAUUAGUACUUACGUAGAGUGUAGUGAACAGGCAUAAACAAUUGGUAUGGAUGUCGAUAACGGAUUAAAGUUACGCUAGGGAUUAUUUGUUAGUUCCUUUAUAUAGAAAACUCUUAUUUAUAUUUUAGUUGAAUAUAUAUUAUCUCCGCUAUAGUGAGAUAGCCUUUUUUUUUAAAGGUAUAUAAUUGGGUGAAUUGCAAGAAAAUCUUAUUAUAAGAUAAUUUGCAGCGAAGCAUAUAUUAGUUUUAAUUAGAUAUAUGAACGUUCAACGACUAGUAAUUGAGUAAACUAACAAUAAUAUUACCACGAGUGCCCAAUACCUAAUUAUCCCGCUACGCGGGAUGAUAUACCCCCCUUCGGGGGGGGUUCAUUAUUUAUAUUAAUAAUAUAUUAAUAUCUUAUAAGACCUAUAAGUUUAGCUUAUUGGUAAGGAUAUUUAUUUAUAUAAAAUAUAUAUUAAUUAGGUAAAGACAUAGUCUGAACUAUAUAGUGAUAUAUAGAAGUUGUAAAAUUAAAAAAACAACGAUAACAAAAUUGAACAGGGUAAUACCGCGUGAGAGUUGAUAUCGUCAGCGGUGUUUGCCACCUCGAUUAAUUAAGAUAGUCGAGUAUAAAUAGGUUUAAUUGCAAGAAAUCUAAGGAUAAUUCUAUGAUAAUUUGCAGCGAAUUAUUAUCUAUAUGUAUAAAAAAUUAUAGUUAACUAUAAUAUUAUAAGGAUAAUAAACGUUCAACGACUAGUAGGUGAGUACAUAUAACAAUAUCCUACCAAGAAAUACCUAGGAAUAUAAAAUUACUUAUAAGAAUAAAUAUUUCAAUACAUAGUCUGAACAAUAAUGAAAAUUAUUGAAGUUAAAAUAAAAAGUUUAACGAUAACAAAUUGGUCGUCUAGACUCGUCCUCCUGGUCGCAGCAACUAGGUAGGGUAGGACUGUUCGUCCUCUAAGGAGUUACUUGAGAUGGGUUAAUUACGACGUGAGUCAGUAAUGAUUUUAUCAUCUAUGGAUUUUUUUCUUAUCUGUUGCCUUAAGUGUACGCAAGGAUAAUAAGGUACAUUCCUAUGGUUAAUAAUUAUUUUAGCUAAGAAUGUUGUGUUUACAUAUUGAAAGCAUAUCAAAUAUUAAAUCCUUCAGAUAAGUUUAUACAUUAUAGACUAUAAUGUUAUAGUAAAUUUGUAUUAUAUUACAAAUUAUCUAAUUAACUCUUAUAUAAGAGUAUACAUAUACCU
rnacentral:rRNA from 1 species